GACAGAGGGUGCAAACGUUGUUCGGAAUUACUGGGCGUAAAGCGUGUGUAGGCGGUGGGCUAGGUCGAUGAUGAAGCCCAGGGCUCAACCCUGGAAGUGCACUCGAUACUGGCUCGCUAGAGUACUGGAGAGGUUGGUGGAAUUCUCGGUGUAGAGGUGAAAUUCGUAGAUAUCGAGAGGAACACCGGUGGCGAAGGCGGCCAACUGGACAGAUACUGACGCUGAGACACGAAAGCGUGGGGAGCAAACAGG
rnacentral:rRNA from 1 species